CCUUUUUGUCGUGACAAGUAUUUGCUUGCGGUGUGUUUCUAUGAUAGACCUUGCAACAGAAUCGACACUUCCAUGUCACACCAGAGUGCUGUUCUAGAAUAUGACUGUAACAUCUGCUUCGGGUUGUAAAGGAGAUAUCUCCACAAAUCUUACAUUCAAAGGGUUUCUGAAGAUAGACAAAAUAAGUUUCCUAAGAUUGUCUACAAGAGGAGCUCCUAUCAAUAGGUCAAUUGGCAACCUCAUCUGAGUUCCAAACAUCAUAGAGAAUGGUGUGACACCAGUAGAUUGAUGUACAGCAGUGUGAUGUGCCAUCAUGCAGAAAGGUUGUCAACAGAACAUCAACAGAUAACCUUCCAGUGUAGAGAAAACAGAACAGAAAACUGUCAACAUAACAACAUAUCUUAUCCCAAAUAUUUUAACUUUUCUUUAAAUUGUCUAGACAAUUGUCAGGAGUAUUCAACUUUUCAAAUGGAAACUUGUAUUUUUUUUUCACUUAUGUGUAAUACUAACCAAAUUCCAAAAAAAGUCCUUGUUCUUAUCUAUAUUUUCAUAAUCAAUUUAUCUAAAACAUUUGUGAUAACCAUGAUCUUGUUAACUAGCUAGACCUUGUAAAUCCCACUUCUGACACCAGAUGUGGUGCCCAGACCCCUGCUUAGUGUUUCCAGGGCAGUCUGCAGCCUCACAUUAACCCAGGGUUCGUUUUACACGGCCCAAGUACCAAAUUAUAAAUGAACACAUAAGA